CGCACUGGACUGUUUGUGUCCGGUGUGUCUGUUUUUACAGCUAGCGGCAAGAAGCCCCUGGUCUCUCCCUAGGGUGGGAGCUCCAAAGGGAAUGCAGGACUCCAAGUGCUCACCAGCCAAACAGGUUUUCAGGUGGCCCUCUGAGGUUGAUCUUAAUGCUUGGGCAGGUCCGAAGAGGUUUUGUUUUAUUCAUUCAUUCAUUCAUGCUGACUUUUUUCCUUCCCAGGGGCCCGAGGCAGCUUACAUAAUUCUCGUCCUCUUCUCAAUCUUAUCUGCACAACAUCAGCCCUGCGAGUGCCAUUGAAGUAUAAACAGCAAAGGCUGCAAACCAUAUGUCUGCUCAAAGAAAUUCACUGAAUUUCAGUGACGCUUACUCCCAGGGAAGUGCAUCAAUGACCGGUUCCUCCCUUCAGUCAAACAGAACAUGGUGCACCUCUGUUGGCUCUUUAAACAUCAGGUGCAUCUAAUGAAGUGGACUGAAGCCCAUGGGAGCUUCUGCCUAAUAAAUGUAUUUGUCCUUAAGGUA